GCUUACGGCCAUAUCACCCUGAGCACGCCGGAUCUCGUUUGAUCUCAGAUGCUAAGCACGGUUGGGCUUGGUUAGUACUGGGAUCAGAGACCGCCUGGGAAAACCAGGUGCUGUAGUGG
rnacentral:rRNA from 1 species